GAUAUAAUGUACACAUCAUCGAUAGCUCAAGGGCGGUGACUGACGAUGCUAUGAUUAAACAAGUGUUUUUACGUCUUGAUAGGAAUCUCUUCAUUUUUUUUUUCUCCCAAUAGAUUUACAGAGCUGUUAUGUGUGAUUACAUUU